rnacentral:rRNA from 1 species
AUGGAGGCCAUUCAACUAUCAGGCGAACCAGAUAAUUUUCGAUGGAAUUUGCAUCAAAAUGGCAGGUUUUCGGUCAAAUCCUUGUACGAUGCAAUGGUUCAUUCUGAUGUUCCGGUGGAUAACAAGAAACUGUGGAAGCUCAAAAUUCCUGUAACAGUGAAGAUUUCCCCCCUGUUUCUAAACAGAGGGGUCAUCUUGACCAGAGAUAACCUGGCAUGACGUAAUUGGUAGGGUAGCAAGACAUGUGUCUUUUGUCAAGAUGACGAGUCCAUUAAACAUUUAUUUUUUAGUGUAAGUUUGCUUGUGUAG